AGCGAGGCUAGAGUCACACCUUGACACCCCCCAUUGUCUUGGUGUGCUAGAGUGCUCGCAGAGUCAAUUUCUUUGCUUAUUCAUUGUCUGUAGUCUUUUGUGGCCCAGCCAAUCACCAGCUCAGAGACACAU
ensembl:snoRNA small nucleolar RNA SNORA3/SNORA45 family